CGAAGAACAGAGCACAAAGAAGCAAUAACAAAAAAUCGCCAACUGCGUUACCGCAUGAACAGAAAACAGGGAAGAAAUGUAAUGACUAGUCCAGCAAGUUUUUCCGUUGACCACAGCACAGAAACCACCUUUAACUGUCCGGUUGGACAUUGUGUAAACCCGAUGCUGAAAAAAAAAACCCAUCCACUUGGCAAACGAUUAAAACUGCACGUGCAACUGAAUAUGAUGUGAUUGAUCAGACUUCCAACUGUAAAAGACUGAUUCUGGGCCACCAUAAAUUAAAGAUGUGUGUAUUAUGUUCUGACGGUCAUAUUCAGCUAGUGACAAAAAACAAGAGUUUUAGUGAGGAAGGCUCAGGAUAAAGUUGAGGUAGAACAAAUAACAGACAAGCUGCCUGCACUUCUAAUGGGACUCUACUGUGGAGGAUGAGGCAGAAGAGAGUUUUUUUAUCAGAGAAGAACUCAUGGUUCUUGCCUCAGAAACCAGGAGGAUGCAGAUGGGGGAUGAGGACUUCUUGCCCCAGGGAAGCCUCAGGCCUGACGGACUACACUGAAGCUCUAGACUGCGUGGGCCUCAGCAUGGUCAGGCGGCAAGGCCAGUUCCUCUGCUGCCCUGGGUUCCACAAGCCUGACGCAAGACAAGAAAUAAAGUAACAGCCUGGAAGCAAACUCCACUGCCCAAGUCCUCAGCACUGUCGUUGAACUGCAUUAAUAAUAAACUUCACCAAUGUAAAAACUCCAGCGUGCAAGGAGAUGGAAGGAGAGUUAGUGAAACAGCAUUGCUGGCUGCUUCUAGAAGGCUAAAGAGUGCACUCAGAUGAAAAGAGAUGCAAUGUGUGCAAGGAAUUAUUAAGGCAAUAAGGGAUUUGCAACUUGAGAUCCCAUAAUGGAGUACAAAUACCAAUUUUAGUGAUGAUACUUUUUAAAUGGUCCUUGAUUUCAGGAUAACAUCUGCAUACCAUUACGGCCAGCAACUUUCAAGUAAUAAAGAAAAGGCUUUUAUCGAAGAUUUCACAGAAAUAUAACACAUGCGCUUGUUCAGUAGAAAGCCAGCAAGCAGCACACCAGCACGCCGAUGCUGGUUCACGUGUGUGCGGGUCUCAGAAAGCCCGAAGCACUGCUAAGAGUGCAGUCCACAGGGUUGAAGCUGGCCCCUUCUUCCAUUUAUGGCAUAUCACUAAUGAAAGAAAACUCCCUCAGCAGGUGGCUUCUGUUACAUGUAGCUCUCCUAUUACUAAACUGAUUUCCUACGGAAUCUGCGUUUCCCAACGUGGUGUGAGUUAUCAUCAUCAUUAUCAUCCAGUGACUAUUUCUAGUAGUCUGUACUCACCACUUUGCAGCAGAGGGGCCAGAACCACCAGAGCAGGCCGAGCGCCACUAACAGUAACAGCACAAGAACAGCAAUAAGCGCUGCUACUCCACUAGACUGUGAAGAAAGUAGAAAGACAGUGUCAGUGGAUGUUGCAAAUAACUGCUGCCUGAGUUUCCCACUCACCCCAAAACAGCUUCCUACUGACUGAUUCAAAUCCCAAACAAAUCGUUCCCACUCGUUGGAUCCUCUUCUUGCCAACGGAGAAUUUCCUCACAAAGGAACAAGAAGGGGGUCUUAGCCAAAUCCGUAUUUGGCACAAGUCCAGUGACACCCUCCGUCGUAAGUCUCCUCAGAUCCGCGAGCUAUGUAAGCCAGGAUGCUUCAACAGGAGCUGUGUAUCACAACACAUGACGUAUCAACAUGAAAAAGAGGGAGGAGGUGGUAAGGUGCUAUUUGUGUUUUUCUUUCCCUAUGUGCUCUGGGGCCUGCAAGUCUCAGGUGUCCUAAGGGAUUGAAAACAGCGUGCUGGCACAGUGGUACUGAGGGACGUUUUACACUGAAAAUGACAAAACUUUGAAAAAUACUUUUUUCUGCCUACCUGUAAACCUCAGUUCAAAUUAAGUCAUUCAGUCAUGGGUAACAGGCCCAGUUUGCCCCAGUGCAAGCCAGGAUUACUUCUGCUGACAUCAGUGGAUUCAUCUGGACGUAAAACUGAUAUCCUUGAGGUUAAUAACCUAUGAGCGACAAAAAUACCAUUGGAAAAAUACACGCUGAUGAGCAGAAGGUACUGUUCUGCAUGCUUCUAUGCCUGACAGGAAAGCUGCACUAACAUCACACUUUAAAUUAGACAAAUUUAAAGAAACACAGUAUCUGCACACAGCACAUUGUGAAAACCUCCAUCCCUACAUCAUGGACUUGUGUCUAACAGCAAAAAUGUUAUCUGUCCUGCCUGUGCAAUACAGAAGACAGGAGGAAUUAAUGGAGAGCAGAGAUGUGAGAUUGGAAAUUUUAUAUAUUAUGUCAGAAAAGUCACCGACUGCACAAAUAUUUGGUUUAUCCUAGAAGCUAUUUUUAACUCUAUUCUAUAAGCCCAUGAUAAAAACAUAGCAGGAUGUUCACACUACCUCAACCCUAGGCUUAAGUUAGGUACUCCAGCCUGUGCUUUGACUAAGACUAUCUCCCCUAAUUAACAAGAGUUGAGAGCCUACUCUCCUUAUUCAGGCGCCAAAGUUGGGUAUCUAAAGUUACGUAGCGUCAGUAUCCUCCCGUAGGAUGAUAACCACCUUCCCUCCCCAGGCAGAAGUCCUAAGGUUCUGCCUGCUCAGUUUCAGCCUGCUUCCACCAAUCCUGCUCCGUGGAACUGUGCUGGAGUAGGACCCCAGGUGACUGAGUCACACCUGGCUCUCACGAUAUGAUUGCAUUUCUAGUGAGCAAAUCUCCAAUGGCAUGGAAGCUUCCCAAUAUUUUGAAAGCCACAGCUGCAUGCUGUGCUAAAGUAAUCUGUUGUAAUAUAUUUAGCAAAACACAAUUUGCAAGCUAUAGAAAAACAGAAGCCCCGCUCAGUCAAGGAACACACAGACACUGCUUGGAUCUCAGGGCAGAGCAAGCUGAGGUAGCACAGGAAAGGAGGAGAAUUCCAGGGCUUUCCCUCCACAUAUAGUUCUGCAUAUGGUCUAGAUCAGCAGCGCCUGAAGCAGCUAGCAAAACAGACGCAACAGCAAUGAAAGCAGAAACCCUUGUAAGAGAGCCUGUGUCAGAAAGCAAAUGUAAAUCUCCAAGCCUGCCACACAAGAGAUGGCUUUCAUGUGUUACUAGGAAGUCUUGGAUGAUACAUACAGAAAUACUUCACGUAUGUGGAAUCCUGCAAAAAAAAAGAUCUUCCUAAAAUAAAGGGAAGUGUUUUAUAUAACAGAAAAAAUUGGCUUAUAUACUGCAGAAAAGAAUCUCAUCUGUAACCCCUCACACACACGUCAUCACGGAAUUCAAAACAGCUGAAAACUUUGUUGCAUGUAACGGUGUUUUAAAACAGAUUCUAAGCGUGUCUCAAAAUACAGAGAAAGCGACUUAGGACUUCUAUACAUAUACGCACCUACAUAUUAAGAAAUCCCGUAUCAUUACAUUAUGUGUAUUCUGUGUGUGUCUGCAGAGGUGUAUUUUUUAGUUAGGUGGAUUUGUGCAUUCUAAACAUUAGCGGGACUUGCCAAGCGUUGAGGUUCUCUGCCCUGAAGGGUCACGCAGUGGUAAAGCCAAAAGAGAAACUGGAUUUCAGGAUUUUACACUGACUGAUGUUCACCAUUUACUUACACAUUCU